rnacentral:rRNA from 1 species
UACGUAGGUGGCAAGCGUUGUCCGGAAUUAUUGGGCGUAAAGCGCGCGCAGGUGGUUCCUUAAGUCUGAUGUGAAAGCCCCCGGCUCAACCGGGGAGGGUCAUUGGAAACUGGGGAACUUGAGUGCAGGAGAGGAAAGUGGAAUUCCACGUGUAGCGGUGAAAUGCGUAGAGAUGUGGAGGAACACCAGUGGCGAAGGCGACUUUCUGGCUUAUAACUGACGCUGAGGCGCGAAAGCGUGGGGAGCAAACAGG